ACUGCAGGCUGCAACUCGCCUGCACGAAGUCGGAAUUGCUAGUAAUCGUAGGUCAGCAUACUACGGUGAAUACGUUCCCGGGCCUUGUACACACCGCCCGUCAAACCAUGGGAGUUUGUAACGCCCAAAGUCGGUGGCCUAACCUUUAUGGAGGGAGCCGCCUAAGGCGGGACAGAUGACUGGGGUGAAGUCGUAACAAGGUACC
rnacentral:rRNA from 1 species